GAAGUGACCUGGAGAAACCGACAGGAGUCAGUGAUGUAAAAGUGACUAGUGCAACGUUUAGCCCAGAGUGUUUUCCGGUGCAUUAACCUGUUUUGGAGGAAAACCCAGGCCUGCUGAAAUUGUAAUCUUUAAUUUCACUGUACCAGCUUUCCACUGCCUCGCGUCCUGUAGAAAGUGGAGACAUAAGUCCUUGUUGCUGUGUUCGAGGCUCCUGACUGACAGCAGAUGCUCCGCCCAUGCCUGUGCAGAGCGGCACAGGUUUUUGUUUAUGGUGAGGGGCGGGGCUCCAUGCUGUCUGCGGUACGCAUUGUGACUCUGUAGGAACUCGGCCUCAAAGCUGCUGCCUGGAACAAGAGAGCAGAGUUUAACAAUGUGCUGGAAUAAAAGCAAAUCAAGUGAUA